rnacentral:tmRNA from 1 species
GGGGCCGACUGGUUUUGACAGCGGGUCUAAUUGUAAUGUAAGCAUGUCGAGCGCUGGGAAACAGCUCGUAAAUCUCAUUUUUCACACUUUUUAAACGGCGAGAAUAACUACGCCCUAGCUGCAUAAUCCGAAUUAUAGUAGGAUAAUGCCUCGGCCCGCAAGGCGGGCAAGCAGGAACUCACUCGAACGCCUUGGUUUACGGCAGUCGGUUUAGUGAGUUCGUAAAAGUAGACCUAUCGGGUACAGGGCGUUGAUGUAUCUGAGACAUUUAAGCGGCGAUAAGGGGUGCGUUGGUAGUUUUCGACCGGCAAGCCCUCGAAAACCUAAAUGAAAACUAAGCAUGUAGAAAGCGUUAUGGUUGCACGUUUGGACGAGGGUUCGACUCCCUCCGGCUCCACGA